GGAGGGGGCAAGCGUUAUUCGGAAUUAUUGGGCGUAAAGGGCAGGUAGGCUGCUUCAUAUGUCUUCUGUGAAGGCCCUCGGCUCAACUGAGGAAUUGCCGGGGAAACUGUGGAGCUUGAGUCCGGGAGAGGCUAGUGGAAUUCCCAGUGUAGCGGUGAAAUGCGUAGAUAUUGGGAGGAACACCAGUGGCGAAGGCGGCUAGCUGGACCGGCACUGACGCUGAUCUGCGAAAGCUAGGGGGAGCAAACGGGAUUAGAUACCCCGGUAGUCCUGGCUGUAAACGCUGAACACUUGGUGUGGCGGGUAUCGACCCCUGCCGUGCCGAAGCUAACGCAUUAAGUGUUCCGCCUGGGGAUACGGUCGCAAGGCUG
rnacentral:rRNA from 1 species